CCUACGAGAGGCAGCAGUGGGGAAUAUUGCACAAUGGGGGAAACCCUGAUGCAGCGACGCCGCGUGAGCGCUGAAGUAUUUCGGUAUGUAAAGCUCUAUCAGCAGGGAAGAAAAUGACGGUACCUGACUAAGAAGACCCGGAUAACUACGUGCCAGCAGCCUAGGUAAUACGUAGGGGGCAAGCGUUAUACGGAUUUACUGGGUGUAAAGGUCACGUAGACGGUCCUGCAAGCCAGAUGUGAAAGCCCGGGGCUCAACCCCGGGACUGCAUUUGGAACGGUAAGGCUAGAGUGUCGGAGAGGCAGGUUGAAUUCCUGGUGUAGCGGUGAGAUGCGUAGAUAUUAGGAGGAACACCAGUGGCGAAGGCGGCCUGCUGGACGAUGACUGACGUUGAGGCUCGAAAGCGUGGGGAGCAAACAGGAUUAGAUACCCCUGUAGUC
rnacentral:rRNA from 1 species